rnacentral:rRNA from 1 species
AACGAACGCUGGCGGCAGGCUUAACACAUGCAAGUCGAACGCAUCCUUCGGGGUGAGUGGCAGACGGGUGAGUAACGCGUGGGAACGUGCCCUUCAGUUCGGGAUAACCCAGGGAAACUUGGGCUAAUACCGGAUACGUGCGAGAGCAGAAAGAUUUAUCGCUGAAGGAUCGGCCCGCGUCUGAUUAGCUAGUUGGUGGGGGAAUGGCCCACCAAGGCGACGAUCAGUAGCUGGUCUGGGAGGAUGAUCAGCCACAUUGGGACUGAGACACGGCCCAAACGCCGACGGGAGGCAGCAUUGGGGAAUAUUGGACAAUGGGCGCAAGCCUGAUCCAGCCAUGCCGCGUGAGUGAUGAAGGCCUUAGGGUUGUAAAGCUCUUUCGUCCGGGACGAUAAUGACGGUACCGGAAGAAGAAGCCCCGGCUAACUUCGUGCCAGCCGCCGCCGUAA